UACGUAGGGUGCGAGCGUUGUCCGGAAUUAUUGGGCGUAAAGAGCUCGUAGGCGGUCUGUCGCGUCGGUCGUGAAAACUUGGGGCUUAACCCUGAGCUUGCGGUCGAUACGGGCAUGACUGGAGUUCGGCAGGGGAGACUGGAAUUCCUGGUGUAGCGGUGAAAUGCGCAGAUAUCAGGAGGAACACCGGUGGCGAAGGCGGGUCUCUGGGCCGAUACUGACGCUGAGGAGCGAAAGCGUGGGGAGCGAUCCGG
rnacentral:rRNA from 1 species